ACCAGAAGAUUCGCCCUCGCCUCAAAAGCAAAAAAAAAAAAAUUCUCCCAAAACGGAGGCCGUCUCUCUCGUCCUCCCUCUCUAUCCAUCCAUCGCAAACACCCAAAAUCACCUACCCAUGUAAUCGUCGGAUCUUCCACCUCUCCCUCGCCCUCUCCGCCUUCUCUCCCGUCUUCGACUACAGCUCCACCUUCGACGAUGGCCGCCGCUUCGUUCCGGACUUGUCCACUUCAACUCGCUCAAUUUCACUCCGAAACCAAAACCCCAAUCCCAAUUCCCCCCAAAUUUACCAAACCGCUAAGGUUUUCCGGUGGCCGUCCUAGUAUGAGUUCCAGAUCCGCGACCUGAGCACCCACAUGGUACGACUCCAUUUCCAGAGCUUCAAUUCUUGUAAUUUUGAUUGGAAUAGUGCUCAGUUUCAUGUCUUGGUCAAUGGGUUUGUGGUUCUGAAAGUCAGUAACUUUGGAUUUGAAGGUGUAUUAGGUCCAAUGGUUAGGGAGUAUUUGAUUUGGGUCAGUACUGAAAAGCUUGUAAUUCGAUUUGUUCUUGAUAAAAAUUCAAGCUUUGCGUUUGUGAAUGCGAUUGAGGUCGUUCUGCACCUACGGAACUUGUUGCUAAUACUGCAAUGUAUGUGAGUGAUGGGAAAGUUGUGGGUUUCAAUGGGUUGGCUAAGCAAGCUCUUCACGUUGUGCAUAGGGUCAAUGUGGGAGGUCAUAAAGUGACGCCCUUUAAUGAUAUUCUGUGGAGGACUUGGAUUACUGAUUUAAAUAGCUAAAAUGGGUCUGGUUUUGUUUUAAUUGUUUAUCUAUCUGAAAGUGGAUUACUGGGAAUACAAGUGGUGGCUGAAUUGCUUCUAGGGUAGCAUUUGCCUCCGAAAUCGAUGACUAGAUAUAUAUGGAUGCUCUUCAUAUAUAUUUGGACAAGCUUUUCAAUUAGUAUGUUGUUAUAAUCCUCUCCGUGACUUUUGUCCUGUUUUGCAGAGAGGUUAUUCCACAAGCAAUAUGCACUAGAUAUGGACUUGCUGUGGGUUCCAACCAAUAUGUUAUCACUUGGGUGAGACAGUUUGAAUUUAUUUCUUUAUAGCUGUCUACCUUAAUGUUCAUUUUGGUGAAAUCAUUCUUCAGAUACAUUUUGAAGAGAACAGCAUGCAGAAAUGUGAAAUUAUGCUCAAUGAUUUGAUUGGUUCUAAGAGGACCAACACCAAUAUUAAAGCAACCAUAGCUCAGCCAUCUCAUACAGUUGGAAUUGCAAUUUGGAGAUAGAGAAAUGCAGUUCAUGGUUGCUCCUCUUCAUGCAGCAAUUAUAAUGCAAUUUCAAGAUCAGAAAAGCUGGACCUCCAAAGAUCUUGCAGCUGCAGUUGGGGUUCCAAUAGAUACACUUAAUCGGAGGAUCAAUUUUUGGAUAAGCAAGGGAAUUCUUGCAGAAUCACUUGGGGAAGAUACUGAUGACCAUGUGUUUACACUAAUGGAAGGGAUGAUUGGUUCUUACCUCUGUUUUCUAUUCUGCUUCGUCAUUUUUUAUUUGUAGGACUGCAACUUGGUGAGGCACUAGGGCUGUGAGUCCUGUGACAAUGAGUUACAAUCUUGUAGAUAGAGUAGGUGAAAGAAAUGAAUGUAAAGUAGUGUAGGAAAUGGAUUCUUCUUUACUUGCAAGCAAAUUUUAUAUGAUAUGAUGUACAAUGAUUAUAUAAAUGAAGUUUAUUAACUAACAAAAAUAUAGAAUCAUGAAAUAACAAAUAAAUUGUGAA